CUGGAGAGGCUGUAGGGAAGUAAUCGGGAUCAGAUGAGGUCUCAGGAAUGGGGUCUCCUAGGACGACCUCAGGGGAAAAGCUUACCGUAGCUCCCUUCCCAUGUUAGUGUGUAGCACAAGGCCCCUGGCAGGCGCCAGAGCCAUGCCUCCAACAGCUGUGGGCUGAACACAUUACCAUUACUAUUUCGUUCUUUGUCACUCACUUAGUCUCGGGAUUUUUGUUAUGAAAAAAGAAAAAUGGACUAAGGUACACGUUCACCAAUUGAAAGGAAUAAAAUGAAGCCAAAUCCCAGCCAAAUCCUUCACUGCACCAGGACAGCUCUGGAUUGUGCAACCCAGUAAGAAGAAGACUAACCACACUUUUAGAAUGAACGUUAAUUUAUCUCUCCCUGUGCUCACAGCCUGACCAGAUGACAUUGUACAGCAGAAGCAUCUGACAUUUCUGAAUAGGUUUCCUCCUGGUGGUCUGGGUGCAUUCUUCCCACUGUCUCCCAGCAGCAAGCGCAUCCGACGUGCUCGAGGGUAGAUUAUGACUUCUCUUCAACUGGCUCCUAGGGCCAAAGGUAGGGUUAGAAAGAGACCGCUUUGCAGACAUUGGUGCCCUCUACUGGUCACGCCAAGAUAUGCAGCUUCAAGGGAGACUGGCGCAGGCAAAUCAAAAUCAACUCAUAACACAGUUCGAGACCUUAGACAUCCCGCAUAGGUGCGUGGAAAAUCGUGUGACGGAAUGCAGAUCUGGACCGAGGCAGCCAGCUUCCACAUCUAUGAAAAGCCACCAAUCCCUUCACCGCCCUGGAGGCAGCCCACAGGGGCCUUCACCCCAUCACCCAUCUGCGUCUUCCCGGUGCCGGUACAGACCUGAGACGGUGAGCGCUUCGCUAAGGAUCUGGUAAACUUACGAAGACAACUUUCUGCUUCCUGGUCAUCCACUGGUCACUUCAAAACAUUGCUUCAGAGUCCUGCAGAGCUUCAAACUGUGGGCGAAUUUCAUUCUCUGAGGGCUACAGUUCCCAUCCAUUACCCCUGCAUGCAUCGUCUGUGAUGAACACUCAGUUCUUGGGAAACCAUCAUAUUCAUGGUUGGUGGAUACAGAUUCUCCAAAAUUCUAAUGUUCACCUGAGAGAGCAAAUGUUUUAAGCACUGGCCACCAAUGCUGUCCUUUUCCUCUGGAGGAGACAUACUCCCUUUAUUGUCUCUAAAGAAAAUGUCUACUGCAUACUCGAGUCUGAAUAGUGUCAGCUGCGUUCUCGGUGAGAUGGCCGGCCACACAGGAAGGAGCUGCCUUAACACAGAAGCUGCUCUCACACUUUUUUUCCCCUCGGCAUAACCGUCCUGGAAACACAAUAAAAUACUUAAUGUGUGCAUCCAGUUUUUGUUAUAGAGGGUCUUAAAAGGUUGUACACUAAAGAUGUAAGAUCAAAUACACUUUCAGAGCUCAUGAAGAA
rnacentral:sRNA from 1 species